UCAAGACCACAUUCCCAACAAACUACCCUCUGAUGAUGAGUGUGAUGAACCGCCUCAUGAAUUAAUGAACUUGGAAAACAAAUUAACCAAUCCUACAUACCCGUCCCCACCACCAAUACCUACUAUUCUCUCAGAUCCACCAUUUCCACUUCAACCUUCACUGCUUGCUGAUAAACCAACAGAACCGCUAGUUUCUGAGAUAUCACAACCUGACAGUGACUCUGAUUUACCACCCACCCACAAUGAUGCGGUAUUUCAUCCGGCUAGACCUACCCGUGUUCGCCAUCCACCGAAGUGGUUAUCCGACUAUGUAUGUGAUUGAACCGUGUGAUUUGUGUUAGGGGCAUAAUAAUCCCCUCUUGUGUUAAUUCUUUCCAUAUUAAUUUGUCAUUGUGUGAUCUAUAUCGUGUGCUUGAUGGAACUCCUUUUUGCAUUUUGUUUAUGUAUUCUCUCUAGAUAUUGCAUUUUUCUAGAUUUUGCAUGUGUAUUCAAUAGUAAUUUUUUAAGAGAAAAAGGAAAAAAUGGUGACACCAGUAUGUUAAUUACUUGCAUUCCGGGUUAGCAUUAUGUAACCGGUAUGGUUCUAUGUUUUGUCUCUUUUCUAUUUCAUCUUACGUUUCCGGUUAAAUAAAUGUGCUGCGUUUACAACUGAGUGUUUGUUGCUGUGUUGGAUAUACACUAACUGGCGCAAAGUGUUUGAGGAAUCGCUCAUAUCAAUCACUAGAUCUAUAUCGCAUUACUUUGAUUAUAGGUAAUUCAGAUUUAAUCUGUUGAUCUAUGCAAACAAACUUUUAUGGGAAAUGCCUUCUCUCCCACCCCUCCCCCAAAUUAACAUUGUGGAGGUGCACUUUCAAAAAUUAUUUUUCAAAUAAUUAUUAAUUGUGUCAUGCUUGUUCCCAGUGUAAUGCUGUUGAACAUGGUGAACAUUAUACAUUUAUUGCAUGAUAGUGAGGGAGAUAUGAAGAUUUAUUCACCCAAGAAAAAUCAUAUUCCCCGAGGGCAACGCCCUAACAUGUAUGUAGCUGAGAUUGCCCUAACGGCAACACCGCGCCUCAACGAAUUAGAAGGUACAAACAGCGAAAUACAGUGAUAUGAUAACCAUUUUUUAUUUUACCAUUCUCCUUGAAUGCUGAUUUACUUGUUUGUUUUUGUAUCAACCAAAAUCAGGGGAUUUAACUGUGUAUCAGAGACCCGCAUGUUUUGUGCCUUACGAAUUAUGGAAGUAGAAUGACUCGGACUUAUUGUGACGUCAUUGACGUUAAAUUUAUGGAAAAUGCACGAGGCUGCCCAAGCGGUAAAUAUGAUAGGGAGAUAUGAUGUUUGAGGGGGAGAUAUGAAGUUUUGUUAUCCCUGGCAUGUGACCGUCUAGACCAAUCAGAUUACGCGUUGCAUAGAAUUUUCAUACUGAGGUAUAAUAAAUGAAUGUGCUACACGGGCAGAUGAAAACAACCCAUGGUCUCGCGCGGAAAUGAGCGAAAUGAAAGAGACGUAUCCGGUAGUUAGUAUUUAUCCGGAAUGCUAGUGCGCAAUGGCGGCAAUAAACAAACGAAGCGGAUACGUUCACGGGCACUGGAAGUUAAUGUAAAUAUAUAGUAUGUGCAUGUAUAAAAAAGUUGAUGUCCUUUUUAUACAUGCACAUACUAUAUAUUUACAUUAACUUCCAGUGCCCGUGGAUACGUUGAAGGAAAAACUUCUUUAUUUAUUUCUUACCGUUAUGUAGACCAGUGAAAAUAAUGAACAACGAUUAAUCGCAUAAAUCCCAUGAAGAAUAGAAAACUGAAAGUAGGGCAAACAUAGAUCCCUGGACAUAUCAGAGGUGAGAUCAGACAGAUCAUGAGAUGGAAACCAAUGUAAUUGAGAAGAAAAGGGAGUACAACUCGAAAUAUCAAGGAAAAACAAGAAAGGCCUUUGUGAUCAGCAGAUGAUGUCCUAUACAACCAUCCUUCCAUGACACAUGCAAUGGGAAGUUUAUUUCAGGAAACAAAGCCUGUCUGAAACUCCAAAAUGACAUUUCCAGAAAGUUGAAGAAUGGAUAAAAAUGUAGCUACCAUCUUACAACCCAGAUUUCAUUCCACUGAAAAGAAAAGGGACAGGAAAUUUUGCAUGUCCAUGUCUUGGAAGGUGAAUUCUAAGGUGGAAAGUCAAUAGAUGCUUACCAUAUCAGAUGCUUGCAGAGGAUACUGGGGAUAAAGUAGCAGAAAAUUAUGGAAAACAGGGAAGUGGCAGCCAGGACUAUGGAGGAGAGAUGACAAUGACAGUGAGAUGGCGUUAGGUUGGACACCAGAAGGGAAGAGGGCAUUUAAGAGACCGACAACAACCUGGAGAGGAACAGUAGAAGCAGAAAGAAAGAUUGCAGAAUGGAGAAACUUGAAUGAGAUCAAGAUGGUAGCAAUAGAACAGAGUGGAUUGGAGAGAGUCUCGGUCCUAUGUGUUUUGGCAUGGAGAGAACUAAGUAAUGUCUAGAUUGUUGGAGAUAGGAUGACCAGGAAUAUGAAUGGAUGUGAUGGAAACUGUACUAAGACCCUUAUGUAUUUGGAUAGAUUUACAUACCAUCAUGAUUUUGCUAUGAAAAACUUGAAAAAAAUUCUCAAUUCAUAUUGUAGCUGACAUUGUACAUUUGUACUUAUUAAUAUUUCAAAUGAACAUGUUUUUAGACAUACAAUAUCUAAACUUUGGAGUCCAUGUACAUCUCCACAUUGGAUAAUAGGUAAUGAUAUAUGCGUGUGAAAUCUUUUCCUAUGGUAUGCACAUGUUAACACAUUAGUUUAAAUGAUGAUGUAUAUCUUAUGACUAUGGAAGAGAAUGUGUUCAGAACAGAAUAUGUGUGUAGAAGAGUUAUUGCCCUUGAAUGUGAUUUAUUAUUUACAUGGGGUUGAAAAAUAAUCCAGCACACAGUAGUACUAAAUGCAUUAUGUUAAAAUACAUUUAUGAAUGGUAUAAGUGAUACUGUCAAUUACUGAUUAAUACACUUUGUGAAAUCAUAUUAUUGUUAUGUUUAAUAAAUUUCAAGGCUGCA